rnacentral:rRNA from 1 species
AAGUCGUAACAAGGUUUCCGUAGGUGAACCUGCGGAAGGAUCAUUAUUGAUUGUGAAUGGUUGCCUUCAGUGCUGGCUCCGGCAAGUGCACGCUGGUGACUUCAAUCCAAUACCCUUGUGAACCAUUGGCCUCUUGCUAGCUUCGGCUGGUAGAGGAUAUUUACACCAACUCGAAUGUAAUGAAAUUAUUGUUGUGCGCAAGCACUAAUGUACAACUUUCAACAACGGAUCUCUUGGCUCUCGCAUCGAUGAAGAACGCAGCGAAAUGCGAUAAGUAAUGUGAAUUGCAGAAUUCAGUGAAUCAUCGAAUCUUUGAACGCACCUUGCACCCUUUGGCAUUCCGAAGGGUAUGCUCGUUUGAGUGUCAUUGUACUCUCACACUUCCAAUUCUUUGGAUUGGGAGCGGUGGACUUGGGCGCUGCUGCUUUACUGUGGCUCACCUCAAAUGCAUUAGUGCAACCCUUGGUUAGACAUAGUACGGCGUGAUAAGUGUCUUCGCUGGCGCCUCACUUAGAGGGUGGCUGAUCAGGGGCUCUGUGCUUCAAACCGUCUUUGGACAAUGGCUGACAACUUGACCUCAAAUCGAGUAGGACUACCCGCUGAACUUAAGCAUAUCAAUAAGCGGAGGAAAAGAAACUAACAAGGAUUCCCCUAGUAACGGCGAGUGAAGAGGGAAGAGCUCAAAUUUUGAAUCUGGCGUCUUUGGCGUCCGAAUUGUAAUCUAGAGAAGUGUUUUCCGUGACGGACCGUGCAUAAGUCUCCUGGAAUGGAGUGUCAUAGAGGGUGAGAAUCCCGUAUAUGGCACGGACUCCCGUUGCUCUGUGAUACACUCUCGACGAGUCGAGUUGUUUGGGAAUGCAGCUCCAAAUGGGUGGUAAAUGCCAUCUAAAGCUAAAUAUUGGCGAGAGACCGAUAGCGAACAAGUACCGUGAGGGAAAGAUGAAAAGCACUUUGGAAAGAGAGUGAAACAGUACGUGAAAUUGUUGAAAGGGAAACGCUUGAAGUCAGUCGCGCCGUUCGGGAUUCAGCCUUGCUUCUGCUCGGUUUACUUCCCGUUGGGUGGGUCAACAUCAGUUCUAGACGGAGGAGAAAGGCUUGGGGAAGGUAGCAGCAUUCGUGCUGUGUUAUAGCCCCUUGUUGUAUACUUCGAUUGGGACUGAGGACUGCAGCACGCCUCUGGCCGGGGUUCGCCCACGUACGUGCUAGGAUGUUGGCAUAAUGGCUUUAAGCGACC